CGUAGGGCGCGAGCGUUGUCCGGAAUUACUGGGCGUAAAGCGUGCGUAGGUGGUUUGUUAAGUCUGAUGUGAAAGCCCUGGGCUCAACCUGGGAAUUGCAUUGGAUACUGGCAGGCUAGAGUGCGGUAGAGGAUGGCGGAAUUCCCGGUGUAGCGGUGAAAUGCGCAGAUAUCAGGAGGAACACCGGUGGCGAAGGCGGGUCUCUGGGCCGAUAUUGACGCUGAGGAGCGAAAGCGUGGGGAGCGAACAGG
rnacentral:rRNA from 1 species